ACCCUUAGAUGUUCUGGGCUGCACGCGCGCUACACUGAUGCGUUCAACGAGUGUAUCACCUUGCCCGAUAGGGUUGGGUAAUCUUUUGAACACGCAUCGUGAUGGGGAUAGAUUAUUGCAAUUAUUAAUCUUCAACGAGGAAUUCCUAGUAAUGAUGGAUCAUCAGUUCAUCGUGAUUACGUCCCUGCCCUUUGUACACACCGCCCGUCGCUCCUACCGAUGAGCAAUCCGGUGAAUAAUUCGGACCGAUAGAUUACCUGGUUCGCCAGGUUUUUUGUUGGAAAGUCUAGUGAACCUUAUUGCUUAGAGGAAGGAGAAGUCGUAACA
rnacentral:rRNA from 1 species